UGUUUUUGACAGGCUACCCUGUACCAUCGUAAGGGGAAUGAAAGCAGAGAGUUAAGACCUCACCUGCAACACUAUGACAAUCUUUAGCCCCUACUCUGCAGAAAGCAGUGACAGGAAGUGCUGAAUCCUCAAAAUGGGACCUAAAAGGAGAAAAUGAAAGUUUAUUCAAGGGAAGAAAGAAAGGAAAAAGUAUAUAUUUAAAGUAGGGAAGAGAAGCCUGCAGGAAGACUUUACAUAUGAGCAUAAGCUUCAAGGGACCGGGCAUGUAGCCUAGCGCCAUAACACCAUGCACAGCAGGCUAUACGUGUUUACAGCUGCUGUGAGGCAGGCUUUUCCAAUUACAAGCCCAGUUCCAGCUGAUCUGCCGGGCAAGCUUCCUUCCUUUAGGUAUACAGGAAAAGGAGGAAGGGGAAUGUAAAGAAGGCAUAAUGCACUGCUGCUCUCAUGGAGCACACCUCCUACAGUCCUAAUCUCCAAGGACAAAAGCUGGGAGCAUCAAGCCAUGUCAAGCUAACAUGCUUGGCAGUCCUCCACCAUCAGCCAUCAGAUAACAUGUUUGUAUAUAGCUGUCUGUGAUUUAACACAUGGGUAUUCCUCCUCUGCUUAACUUUAUCACAUGGCCCAUCGAUAAUGGGGUGGGUGUCUUGUUCAGAUAAAGAAUACUUUUUCUGUUUUACAUCAGUGGGGACUACUCCUUGUCCUGGCUAGUGGGAGGAAUAACAGAGAUCAUUUGCCAUGUAAUGCAUGCAGAGAUAGGCAGGACAGGAACUAGGAUCACAUUAAAGUCUUCUAAGGCUGCCACAGUGCUCUACAGUUUCCAGUUUGAAGCAGCUGUGCUUCAGAUCACUCAAAGACACAGUACUGUAUCUAAGAAGCUGUAAGGCUUGUGGUUAUACUUAGAUUCUCCAGAAUUCUAGCUAAGAAUUGACUGAGAUCAGGAAGGAUAAGGAAUUUAUAAAUUAUUAGCUCGUGUCUUGCUGUUGUCAGACAGUCAAGUUUCUAAUAGGUAUUGUUAGGUGAAUCUCUACCUUUCAGGUUCACAGGAGGUUGCUCUGCUUCAAACUGAACGAUGUUUCUGUCUGGCUUGGCUGUCAUUCUGUUUCUUCAUAAUCUUUAACAAAUCCUUGAUUAUCUAUGAUAUUACCACCUCUCAUCAAGAAAGGGCUCCUUUUAUAGUUAGAAUCUCCCCACAAAACUAAUCCCCAGAAGAAACAGUAGUUUCCCUAUAUAUUCUAGAUUCCAGUGGUAAGUUAAGGAGGUAAAAACUGGUCUGCAAAACAAAACAUAUUCAGGUGAAGUAUCUGCAGUAUUAUUUCACUGAAAUUCUACAGUGUGGCCACUUUUGAUGACCUACCUUAUACCCGUGUCUCCUUUAAAAGAAUAUUCCGUUGACAUUGCCAACACUGGCUCAUUAAGGUAAGAGGAGAUUAAUUUCAUUUAAAAUUAAAUUGUUAUGAAGCCUCAAGGUAAGCUUUAUAAAGACAGUAUUGUCAGUACAUCCUGGGAAGAUGACUUUAUCUGCUUUACUUGAUGGGAAAUAAAAAAAUAGAGAAGUCUCUCCUCAGACUUAACACGUUUGGCUUCCUGAAUUUUAAGCAAACCCAUACUGCAAGAAAAAAUGCAGGCAGCAACUGGAACAGAAUCAAUGACUUAGCUAAAUCACGUAGAGCAGCAUCUCUUUCAUGUUAGAGCAAAACAAUGUUAGUGCUUGUCUUAUAAUAAAUUGCUGCUUCAUAAAGGCAGAAAUAACUCAUCUCUUUUCAGCUAAUUCCUGUUCAGCUUCCCCAGGUAUAAAGCACUUAUUAAAGAAAGUUUAGCAGCUGUACUGUUCUCUGAGGCAUGAAAAAUCUUGAUUAAGGUCUCUAUACUGGAGUCAAUGAAGCUUGAGCCUUGAUAUACUGGGACACAUGGAAGGGAGAACCUGGCUUUCUGCUCCACAGUGCCCUGCUGGCUAGUCCUCAGAGGACUGUUUGUUUUGGGCUCUGAAAAGCAGCUUGCCAGACCUCCUGCCUAUGAGAUAGGCAUCAUUUUAUGUCUGCCUGUCUAUCUGCAAGGAUAAGAGCAGCAAACAAAAAGCUGUGGCCAUGGAGGAAAAAGACAGGAUAGGUUAAGCAGUAUUUGAGGCUGGCAUUCCUGCUUUAGACAAAGAAGAGGGUGGAUGUUUGGGGGCAAAAAUCACCUUAAUUUUUUUAUACUAAGAUGUUGGACUUGAGGAAGACCUUUUAGCUGUCUGUUAUAGUUGUCGUAACUAUGUGCUUCAAACUAUAAUGUAAGCCACCACCUGAACUAUACUUCAAUAUGACUGGAUUAAAAGUGUUAAUGAUAGGUAAUUAGUGACUGCUGCAAGUUGGUUGUGUCAAUGAUUCAAGUUCUCCUCUGAAAGAAACUGGUGAAAAUCUUAAUAAUUUAUCCUACAUAGUUGGUUUUUCAUCUGAGUAACACGGCAAAGUUUAGACUGCAUCAUUUUUGAGAUGGUUUCAUCUCAAGAUGAAACGUUGAGAGAGUGUUUCUUCAGCUGUCAUGGUGUUAGUGACUCGAAUGGCUUUUCCAAGGAGCUGCAAGGAAGUGGUUCAGAUACAUGAAGUUGCUGAUGCUGAUUGUCUUCAGCAGUGCUCAUGAGAUCUUUAUUUUCCUGGGGCCGAAGCCUCUUCAUUUGUCUGUGUGAAGGAACAUAAGGCUGAGGAAGGAAGAUCUGACAGAUGCUCUUAUAAUUAUUCUUUCCAUUUGAUUUUUGCUUUUAUAUGUUUCUGCAAAAAAAAAAAAACAUAGAUAUAACGAGGUUUGAAUAGCAUUAUGUGUCCAAGAGACAUAAAACAUACCACAGAGGUGGAGUGUUAGCUACAUGUACAAGGGUAUUUCAGUCACAGGAUUAACUGAGUUUUGAUUCCUGCUUUCCUUUAAUAUUUUUUCUCUGUAUUCCUGGCUAUUUUCUACAGGACUUUCAUCUAGAUCUGAAAAGUGAGGGAAAAGCUUUAUGUAGUGUUUGGUUUUUGCAUUUGCUCAGUUUUGUUUGUGAGCCCAUGAAACAAAUGAAAGAUACUUCAUUGCUUUUUCAUUUGUUUUCACUGAUUAUGAAAUGUAAGAUUUAAAAAAAUAAUAAUCCAGACUUCCCUGGAAGAGAUUUCAUCUGUGCUGUAAACCUGGAGCCCCUUUUUGUAACUCCUACUCAUUGGCUGCUAUUGCAAAAUACCUUAGCAAAGAAGGAAAGGAUAGCAGGUGGAACGAGGCCACCUGAGCAAAACAGUGAUUGGGAGAUUAUGGUUAUAGAAUCCAGAAUUGUGAAAAAAAAAAAUAAUAUAUGAUUAAUGAAGAUUAGUUAAUGAGUAACUAG